CAGUUGAGCGAAGCUUUUUGGUAGUUUACUACUAGAAAUGACUGCCCCGGCGAACGGGUGAGUAACGCGUGAGCAAUCUACCUUACCUUACUGGGAUAGCCCGAGGAAACUCGGAUUAAUACCGGAUAUUCUUAUUUUUUCACAUGAAGUUUUAAGGAAAGGUCAGCCGAACUAAGAUGAGCUCGCGUUCUAUCAGCUAGUUGGUGGGGUAAAAGCCUACCAAGGCUACGACGGAUAGCUGGUCUGAGAGGACGAUCAGCCACACUGGGACUGAGACACGGCCCAGACUCCUACGGGAGGCUGCAGCAGGGAAUAUUGUGCAAUGAGCGAAAGCUUGACACAGCGACACCGCGUGUGGGAUGACGGUUCUAGGAUUGUAAACCACUUUCAGGAGGGAAGAAAAUGACGGUACCUCCACAAGAAGACCCGGCCAACUAUGUGCCAGCAGCCGCGGUAAUACAUAGGGGUCAAGCGUUGUCCGGAUUUAUUGGGCGUAAAGAGCUCGUAGGCGGUUCAACAAGUCGGUCGUAAAAGUUUAGGGCUCAACCCUAAAAUGUCGAUCGAUACUGUUGUGACUAGGAUACGGUAGAGGUGAAUGGA
rnacentral:rRNA from 1 species